UCCGUUGUGGUCUAGUGGUUAGGAUUUAUGGCUCUCACUCAUAAGGCCGGGGUUCGAUUCCCCGCAACGGAA
ensembl:tRNA